rnacentral:rRNA from 1 species
CAGCAGCCACGGUAAUACGAAGGGGGCUAGCGUUGUUCGGAAUUACUGGGCGUAAAGCGCACGUAGGCGGACAUUUAAGUCAGGGGUGAAAUCCCGGGGCUCAACCCCGGAACUGCCUUUGAUACUGGGUGUCUAGAGUAUGGAAGAGGUGAGUGGAAUUCCGAGUGUAGAGGUGAAAUUCGUAGAUAUUCGGAGGAACACCAGUGGCGAAGGCGGCUCACUGGUCCAUUACUGACGCUGAGGUGCGAAAGCGUGGGGAGCAAACAGGAUUAGAUACCCCCGUAGUCCCUGUCUCUUAUAA